AGACUGCUGCUGAAAUACAACAACCAUCAAACACUGGAGGCAGUGGCCUUUCAAAAGAAGAGCUCAACAUUACAAAGUCUGUGACUAUGUCCAACCCAGAAUACAUAGUCUACACAGACAGUUAGCUUGAACAGGCGCGACCCUCCUACUUCAAGCAGAAAUGGCUGGGGACAGAGCACAUUGUGGCCUUAUCCAAGGAGCUCUUCUGCUGACUCAUAAGAAACACUAUGACUAAAAUGAUUACAAUUGCAAAAGCCACAGAGGACUCCAGAUACCCCAGCAAACAUGAGGUCAAAGUGAUUGGUGGAGUACUACCCAGUGAUGAAAGACAGGUCAUCAAACAUUGAGUGGCUUAUGAAGAGAGUCUCAAAUGUCAGAAGUCCAAGGAAGGCCAAGGUUCCUCCUUUGAAGGAACCAUGAGAGGAUGGGGAAAUCCAUGCAGAUGUUGCAACAAGUGACUACAGUGGAGAUUCCAGUGCAUCACCAUUAGUCUGGAGUAAUCAUCUGUUAGAGCCAGCACCCCAAGCAACACCAGGAUAGCAGUGAUGAAGCAUGUAUUUUUAAGGGAGCAAGACCGACAAAGAUUCUAGUUGCUUACCCUUGUUUCAGAGAUGUGGAUCACGUCCCGGAUGACCUGCGGAGAAUUAUUCAACCAAACAAUUCCUGGUACAUUUGAAGGACAGAUGGGAAAGCUUCUACUCAAAGGUCUAGUUUUAUAGUGUCAUGAAGAAAGCCAUAUGAAGCCUCCAAAAACUUUGAAUGGAGGUGAAGACACAACACCUUGAUUUGUCCAAGUUUAUAUUUUGAGAUCUCAUGAUGAGUGGGAAUUAAUGGUACUGCCUUGUAUUGUGCCUUUUCUGUUAAACCAGUGGAGCAUACCACAGCUGUGUUCAGAGCCCUGCCACUGCACUUCCUAUCCAGCACCUUGAUGUAGAAUUAUCAUUUGACCAUUCAGUGUCAAAGUGUGUAUUAGUCCAGGUCAAAGUGUGUAUUAUUUGUGGUGUUUUUCUAAUCUUGUACAUUCCUAUGACAACGACCCCUGUGUUGUCUAGUUGUGCUCGUCUCUGAAGACAACAGCAUGAUCACCGUUGGAAGCACGCCAGUGACCACACUGCUAAUAGUAUUGCAAAGGGAAAUUCUCCAAGAUUCCAUCCAUGACAGAGAUUCAACCCCCACCUACAAAAAAGCCCUUGGUGAGUGGAGUCUCAUGUCUGACAAAGUUGUGUUUCAGAAAAAGUUUCAGAAAAAGUCACAAGUCAUCAGCCUCACCUCAGGCUACCACCCUCAGUCCAAUAGCCAAGUGGAGCGGGCCAGUCAGGAAGUAGGAAGAUUUCUACAGUCCUUCCGUGCUUCUAACCAAGAAGAUUUGGCCCACUUCCUCCCAUGGGCCAAAUAUGCCCAAAAUUCUCUGAGGCAUUCAGCCACCCAGUUUACCCCCUUUCCAGUGCAUCGUCGGUUACUAAGCUCCCCUAUUCCCAAGGACAGUCCUGACAGUCCUCAAUGCAAAUGAACUUUGCAAAGUAUUCGUUCAGCUCUGUUUCUCAUCUGACAUACCAAGCCUUUGAUUCAUGUUUACUACUUCUGGUUUUGACCCACUUUUUUCUCAUUUCAUGAUUAUAGUCUCAUCUUCUGAAUACCUGUUAGUACAUCGCAUAACCCUUUGCCUGAUUCUGGAUUCUGGCCUUGACAGAAUCCAGUCUUUAUUUUUAAUAAAAGCAUUUGCCACAAUUGUCGCUGUAUCUGCCGCAUAACAGAACAACCAGAAGACAAACCUUUAAGAUAUUGUACUAUAUUUUAUAAUCUUAUAAAUUAUAAUAUAAAUUUAUAAUUGUAUAUUUUAUAAAAGUCAACACUGUGUCUAAAUAUGACGAAUAUUAAAAGCCACACAUUGAUGAACUGCUUGAACAGAUAUGCAUGGCUCACUUUUAUUCGACACUGAAUUUAACCAAGGCGUAUUGGCAGAUUCCCUUGACUCAAAUAACCUUAAAAAUGGCUUUUUCCACUCUGUUUAGGUUAUACCAAUUUGUCACCCUUCUGUUCUCAUGGACAAAAUACUCUCAUGGACAAAAUACUCCACAUGCACAGUACAUAUGCUUCUCCGUAUUUAGAUGAUGUAGUCAUUUAUAGUAAUGAUUGGCAGCGGCAUUUACAACAUCUAAGAGCUGUCCUAAAAUCCUUGAGAUGAGCAGGACUCACAGCAAACCCAAAGAAGUGUGCAGUUGGACAGGUGGAAGUAAGGUAUCUGAGCUUCCACUUGGGCCAUGGGCUGGUGUGUCUGCCCAAACAGGCUAAAAGCUAUAAGAAUUCUAUAAUAAAUAUAAUAGCUUGAAUAAUGGUGUGUUGUGACUGACUUCCCCCACUAUACUAAAAAUAAAAUCAUGGCUAUGCUUAAUGGACCCACUUUGAGGAAGACUACUCAAGGAAACGUAAAUCAUUACCUGGUUGUCUACUGAAACUUGAUUAGCUUUAAUGAAAUCUGUAAACCUGAACCUGAAAAACACAAACCACUGUGGGAAAGAUUGCCCAGUAAUGGUUAAACAGGUUUCUAAAAUGAUAUAUAGUGAGCUUAAUUUUAAAAUCCAAGAAAGGCACAUUGCAAACAGUGAGAAAUUCAGGCAUUACAUGCAGCGCAUGGACAGAUGCUAAUUGGCCCACAGCUUCUCUCUUAGAAUGGAUGAUAGGUGGCCCACUGGCCUGCAUGUUGCAAUUUUUUCUUUUACCUUAUGGUGGUAGCACACUGUGUUAACACAUAUAGCUAAAUUGCAAGAGCCUUUUUUCUCUGACACCUGCAAAUUAAUGUACUGUAUGAUAUUUAGUCAUGGCUACAGACAAAUGCACAAAGUUAACAGUGAGAAGGGGUGAUUUCAAAUGUGUGUGCCUCAUAUGUCAAGAGACUGUUGCAGUAAUUGAGGAAUUUAAUAUCAUGAAACAUUAUGAAACAAAUCAUGGGUGAUGCAAAAAAUAUUCAGAAGAUGAGAGGGCAGCUGAAAGCUAAGGUCCAUAAGUAUUUGGACAGUGACAUGAUAUUUGUAAUUUUGCACCACCAGAAUGGAUUUGAAAUGAAGUAAUCAAGAUGUGAUUGUUGUGUAGUCCUUAAGCUUUAAUUCAAGAGAUUUAACAAAAAAUAUUGCAUUAACCACUUAGGAAUUACAACCAUUUUUUACAUAGUCCCUCCAUUGUCACAGGCUCAAAAGUAAUUGGACAAACUAACAAUCAUAAAUAUUAGGAUUCAUUUUAAUGAGUUUUCUCCAUUGAGAUGCUUUACCAGGCCCUUACUUCAGCUACUCAGUGAAAAGUAUGCUCUAUUGGGUUGAAGUCAGGUGAAUGACUUGGCUGUUUAAGAACAUUCCAUUUCUUUGCCUUAAGAAGCUAUUGGGUUGCUUUCGCAGUACAUUUUGGGUCAUUAUCCAUCUGUACUGUGAAGUGCUGUCCUAUCAGUUUUGCAGCAUUUGACUGAAUCUGAGCAGAAAGUAAGGAUCUAUACACUUUAGAAUUCAUCUUGCUACUCCUGCCAUCAGUCACAUCAUCAAUAAACACCACUGACCCAGCUCCACUGGCAGCCAAACAUGCCCAUGCCAUAACACUGCCUCCACAAAUUUGACAAAUGAUGUGGUAUGCUUUGGAUUACGAGCCCUUCCUUUACUUCUCCAUACUCUUCUCUUCCCAUCAUUCUGGUACAAGUUAAUCUUGCAUCAGAACUGGUCAGGGUUUUUUAGAAGUCUUUUAGUAAAGUCUAAUCUGGCAUUUCUUUUCUUGAGUGUUACCAGUGGUUUACAUCUUGAGGUAAACCGUCUAUAUUUACAUUCAUGAAGGCAUCUCUUGAUUGUAGACCUUGACAAUGAUAGACCUACCUCCUCCAGCGUGUUCUUGACUUGGCUAGAUGUUGUAAAGGAGUUUUUCUUCACCAAGGACAAAUUCUGCAGUUAUUCACUUUAGUUUUAUUCAGUGGCCUUCCAGGCCUUUUGGUGUUGCUGAGCUCACCAAUGUGUUUCUUCACUUGCACUGACAUCUCUUUGGACCACAUAUUGAGAGCUCCAGGAACAGCUACAAAAUGCAAAUUCAAUGCUUGGAAUCAACUCCAGACUGUUUAUCUCCUUAAUUUGUGAUGAAAUAAUGAGGAAAGAGGUCACACCUGGCCAUGAAACUGCUUAUCAGUCAAUGGUCCAAUUACUUUUGAGCCUGUGAAAAUGGAGUGACUAUGUAAAAAAUGGCAGUAAGUCCU